rnacentral:rRNA from 1 species
UGCCGCGUGAGUGAAGAAGGCCUUCGGGUUGUAAAGCUCUUUCGGCCGGGAAAAAAUCGCAUGGGUUAAUACCCUGUGUGGAUGAUGGUACCGGAAUAAGAAGCACCGGCUAACUACGUGCCAGCAGCCGCGGUAAUACGUAGGGUGCGAGCGUUAAUCGGAAUUACUGGGCGUAAAGCGUGCGCAGGCGGUUUGAUAAGACAGGCGUGAAAUCCCCGGGCUCAACCUGGGAACUGCGUUUGUGACUGUCUCACUAGAGUACGGCAGAGGGGGGUGGAAUUCCACGUGUAGCAGUGAAAUGCGUAGAGAUGUGGAGGAACACCAAUGGCGAAGGCAGCCCCCUGGGUCGAUACUGACGCUCAUGCACGAAAGCGUGGGUAGCAAACAGGAUUAGAUACCCUGGUAGUCCACGCCCUAAACGAUGUCAACUAGGUGUUGGGUGGGUAAAACCAUUUAGUACCGUAGC